GAUGAACGCUAGCUACAGGCUUAACACAUGCAAGUCGAGGGGAAACGACAUCGAAAGCUUGCUUUUGAUGGGCGUCGACCGGCGCACGGGUGAGUAACGCGUAUCCAACCUGCCCAUCACUUGGGAAUAACCUUGCGAAAGUAAGACUAAUACCCAAUGAUAUCCCACGAAGGCAUCGGAAUGGGAUUAAAGAUUUAUCGGUGAUGGAUGGGGAUGCGUCUGAUUAGCUUGUUGGCGGGGUAACGGCCCACCAAGGCAACGAUCAGUAGGGGUUCUGAGAGGAAGGUCCCCCACAUUGGAACUGAGACACGGUCCAAACUCCUACGGGAGGCAGCAGUGAGGAAUAGUGGUCAAUGGGCGAGAGCCUGAACCAGCCAAGUAGCGUGCAGGAUGACGGCCCUAUGGGUUGUAAACUGCUUUUAUAAGGGAAUAAAGUGGGUCUCGUGAGACUUUUUGCAUGUACCUUAUGAAUAAGGACCGGCUAAUUCCGUG
rnacentral:rRNA from 1 species